UGGGGAAUAUUGCACAAUGGGGGAAACCCUGAUGCAGCGACGCCGCGUGAGCGAAGAAGGCUUUCGAGUCGUAAAGCUCUGUCCUAUGAGAAGAUAAUGACGGUACCAACAGAAGAAGUGACGGCUAAAUACGUGCCAGCAGCCGCGGUAAUACGUAUGUCACGAGCGUUAUCCGGAUUUAUUGGGCGUAAAGCGCGUCUAGGUGGUUAUAUAAGUCUGAUGUGAAAAUGCAGGGCUCAACUCUGUAUUGCGUUGGAAACUGUAUAACUAGAGUACUGGAGAGGUAAGCGGAACUACAAGUGUAGAGGUGAAAUUCGUAGAUAUUUGUAGGAAUGCCGAUGGGGAAGCCAGCUUACUGGACAGAUACUGACGCUGAAGCGCGAAAGCGUGGGUAGCAAACAGG
rnacentral:rRNA from 1 species